CGAUGAUCUCCAGCUUGCUGGGGGGAUUAGUGGCGAACGGGUGAGUAACACGUGAGUAACCUGCCCUUGACUCUGGGAUAAGCCUGGGAAACUGGGUCUAAUACUGGAUACGACUCUUCACCGCAUGGUGGGGGGUGGAAAGCUUUUGUGGUUUUGGAUGGACUCGCGGCCUAUCAGCUUGUUGGUGGGGUAAUGGCCUACCAAGGCGACGACGGGUAGCCGGCCUGAGAGGGUGGACGGCCACACUGGGACUGAGACACGGCCCAGACUCCUACGGGAGGCAGCAGUGGGGAAUAUUGCACAAUGGGCGCAAGCCUGAUGCAGCGACGCCGCGUGAGGGAUGAAGGCCUUCGGGUUGUAAACCUCUUUCAGUAGGGAAGAAGCGAAAGUGACGGUACCUGCAGAAGAAGCGCCGGCUAACUACGUGCCAGCAGCCGCGGUAAUACGUAGGGCGCAAGCGUUAUCCGGAAUUAUUGGGCGUAAAGAGCUCGUAGGCGGUUUGUCGCGUCUGCCGUGAAAGUCCGGGGCUUAACUCCGGAUCUGCGGUGGGUACGGGCAGACUUGAGUGAUGUAGGGGAGACUGGAAUUCCUGGUGUAGCGGUGAAAUGCGCAGAUAUCAGGAGGAACACCGAUGGCGAAGGCAGGUCUCUGGGCAUUAACUGACGCUGAGGAGCGAAAGCAUGGGGAGCGAACAGGAUUAGAUA
rnacentral:rRNA from 1 species